rnacentral:lncRNA from 1 species
CAACUUGCCUUAGGCUUAUCUUUUGUCGUCAAGGACUAUUCAUGAACUUGUACAUAUGAACUUGUGUUGCUGCAGUUUACUGUCUUGUAUUGUCAAUGCCCAGUAGAAACUAUUUUCUGUAUCAUCAUACUUGAAUCCUAGAGAGGUGUUAGGGCUUGACAGCAUUGGAUGUGCGGCAAAGUUUAUAACCUUGUACUGGUUUCUUGCAUCCUUUGUUUGAAUUAGAUGUACAGAUUGGAUCUGACUAUAUUUUGUUACAUUAUCUCAUCAUACUUGAAUCCUAGAGAGGUGUUAGGGCUUGACAGCAUUGGAUGUGCGGCAAAGUUUAUAACCUUGUACUGGUUUCUUGCAUCCUUUGUUUGAAUUAGAUGUACAGAUUGGAUCUGACUAUAUUUUGUUACAUUAUCUGCUUGUCACUAAUAAAAAGUUCCCAGUAUCGCACACAAAAUUUUUAUCUUGC